UGACCGCUGGCGGCGUGCCUAAUACAUGCAAGUCGAGCGAACGGACGCGAAGCUUGCUUCUCUGAUGUUAGCGGCGGACGGGUGAGUAACACGUGGAUAACCUACCUAUAAGACUGGGAUAACUUCGGGAAACCGGAGCUAAUACCGGAUAAUAUUUUGAACCGCAUGGUUCAAAAGUGAAAGACGGUCUUGCUGUCACUUAUAGAUGGAUCCGCGCUGCAUUAGCUAGUUGGUAAGGUAACGGCUUACCAAGGCAACGAUGCAUAGCCGACCUGAGAGGGUGAUCGGCCACACUGGAACUGAGACACGGUCCAGACUCCUACGGGAGGCAGCAGUAGGGAAUCUUCCGCAAUGGGCGAAAGCCUGACGGAGCAACGCCGCGUGAGUGAUGAAGGUCUUCGGAUCGUAAAACUCUGUUAUUAGGGAAGAACAUAUGUGUAAGUAACUGUGCACAUCUUGACGGUACCUAAUCAGAAAGCCACGGCUAACUACGUG
rnacentral:rRNA from 1 species